AGAGGAUGAUCAUGGCUCAGAUUGAACGCUGGCGGCAGGCUUAACACAUGCAAGUCGAGCGGAAACGAUGAUAGCUUGCUAUCAGGCGUCGAGCGGCGGACGGGUGAGUAAUGCAUGGGAAUCUGCCCCAUAGAGGGGGAUAGCCCGGGGAAACCCGGAUUAAUACCGCAUACACCCUACGGGGAAAAGCAGGGGAUCUUCGGACAGCUCUUGCUAUUGGAUGAGCCUAUGUCGGAUUAGUUAGUUGGUGAGGUAAUGGCUUACCAAGACUACAAUCCGUAGCUGGUUUGAGAGGAUGAUCAGCCACACUGGGACUGAGACACGGCCCAGACUCCUACGGGAGGCAGCAGUAGGGAAUAUUGCACAAUGGGGGAAACCCUGAUGCAGCCAUGCCGCGUGUGUGAAGAAGGCCUUCGGGUUGUAAAGCACUUUCAGUUGUGAGGAAAGGGUAGCGGUUAAUACCCGUUAUCUGUGACGUUAGCAACAGAAGAAGCACCGGCAAACUCCCGUCCAGCCGCGGUAAUACGGAGGGUGCGAGCGUUAAUCGGAAUUACUGGGCGUAAAGCGCGCGUAGGCGGCCUGAUAAGUUGGAUGUGAAAGCCCUGGGCUCAACCUAGGAACUGCAUUCAAAACUGUCAGGCUAGAGUAUGGUAGAGGAUAGUGGAAUUUCCGGUGUAGCGGUGAAAUGCGUAGAGAUCGGAAGGAACAUCAGUGGCGAAGGCGGCUAUCUGGACCAAUACUGACGCUGAGGUGCGAAAGCGUGGGGAGCGAACAGGAUUAGAUACCCUGGUAGUCCACGCCGUAAACGAUGUCAACUAGCCGUUUGUGUCCUUGAGACGUGAGUGGCGCAGCUAACGCACUAAGUUGACCGCCUGGGGAGUACGGCCGCAAGGUUAAAACUCAAAUGAAUUGACGGGGGCCCGCACAAGCGGUGGAGCAUGUGGUUUAAUUCGAUGCAACGCGAAGAACCUUACCAUCCCUUGACAUCCAGAGAAGAGACUAGAGAUAGACUUGUGCCUUCGGGAACUCUGUGACAGGUGCUGCAUGGCUGUCGUCAGCUCGUGUUGUGAAAUGUUGGGUUAAGUCCCGCAACGAGCGCAACCCCUAUCCUUAGUUGCCAGCACGUAAUGGUGGGAACUCUAAGGAGACUGCCGGUGACAAACCGGAGGAAGGUGGGGACGACGUCAAGUCAUCAUGGCCCUUACGGGAUGGGCUACACACGUGCUACAAUGGGCAGUACAGAGGGUUGCGAGCUAGCAAUAGUUAGCGGAUCCCUUAAAGCUGUUCGUAGUCCGGAUUGGGGUCUGCAACUCGACCCCAUGAAGUCGGAAUCGCUAGUAAUCGCGGAUCAGAAUGCCGCGGUGAAUACGUUCCCGGGCCUUGUACACACCGCCCGUCACACCAUGGGAGUGGAUUGCACCAGAAGUAGUUAGUCUAACCUUCGGGAGGACGAUUACCACGGUGUGGUUCAUGACUGGGGUGAAGUCGAAACAAGGUAACC
rnacentral:rRNA from 1 species